GCCCAUUGGCUCGGCGGCAGGGCAUCUGUCUAGUAAACAGAAGGUCUCUGGUUCGAUUCCAGCAUGAGGCA
rnacentral:tRNA from 1 species